rnacentral:rRNA from 1 species
AACGAACGCUGGCGGCAUGCCUAACACAUGCAAGUCGAACGAGACCUUCGGGUCUAGUGGCGCACGGGUGCGUAACGCGUGGGAACCUGCCCUUAGGUUCGGAAUAACUCCCCGAAAGGGGUGCUAAUACCGGAUAAUGUCUUCGGACCAAAGAUUUAUCGCGUUUGGAUGGGCCCGCGUUGGAUUCGCUAGUUGGUAGGGUAAAAGCCUACCAAGGCGACGAUCCAUAGCUGGUCUGAGAGGAUGAUCAGCCACACUGGGACUGAGACACGGCCCAGACUCCUACGGGAGGCAGCAGUGGGGAAUAUUGGACAAUGGGCGAAAGCCUGAUCCAGCAAUGCCGCGUGAGUGAUGAAGGCCUUAGGGUUGUAAAGCUCUUUUACCCGGGAUGAUAAUGACAGUACCGGGAGAAUAAGCUCCGGCUAACUCCGUG